rnacentral:rRNA from 1 species
UUUAAAGGGCCGCGGUAUCAUGACCGUGCAAAGGUAGCAUAAUCAUUAGUCUUUUAAUUGAAGGCUGGUAUGAAUGGUUUGACGAAAUAAUAGCUGUCUAAGUAUAAUUAAUAGAAUUUCACUUUUAAGUUAAAAGGCUUAAAUAUUUAUGGAGGACGAGAAGACCCUAUAGAGUUUAAUAAAUAUUAUAUAAUUUGUAUUUUGGAUGUUUAUUAAAUUUUGUUUAGUAUUUAUUAUGUUGGGGUGACAUAAAGAUAAAUGAAACUCUUUAUUUAAAUAACAUUAAUUUAUGGUUGAUUGAUCCAUUUAUAGUGAUCAUAAGAUUAAAUUACCUUAGGGAUAACAGCAUAAUUCCCUUUGAGAGUUCUUAUCAACAAGGGGGAUUGUGACCUCGAUGUUGGAUUAAGGAAUAUGCUUAAGUGCAGCAGUUUAAGUUAUAGGUCUGUUCGACCUUUAAAUCCUUACAUGAUCUGA